rnacentral:rRNA from 1 species
GUAAUAGCUCACUAGUCGAGUCGGCCUGCGCGGAAGAUGUAACGGGGCUAAAACUAUGUGCCGAAGCUGCGGAUGUAUACUUUGUAUACGUGGUAGGGGAGCGUUCUGUAAGCCGAUGAAGGUGUGUUGAGAAGCAUGCUGGAGGUAUCAGAAGUGCGAAUGCUGACGUGAGUAACGACAAAACGGGUGAAAAACCCGUUCGCCGAAAGACCAAGGGUUCCAGUCCAACGUUAAUCGGGGCUGGGUGAGUCGACCCCUAAGGCGAGGCCGAAAGGCGUAGUCGAUGGGAAAAUGGUUAAUAUUCCAUUACUUCUGUGUAAUGCGAUGAGAGGACGGAGAAGGCUAAAUCAGCCUGGCGUUGGUUGUCCAGGUGAAAGGAUGUAGGCAUGUAUCUUAGGCAAAUCCGGGGUACUCUAUGCUGAGAUCUGAUAGCAAGCUGUACUUGUACAGCGAAGUGGUUGAUGCCAUGCUUCCAGGAAAAGUCUCUAAGCUUCAGUUACACAGGAAUCGUACCCGAAACCGACACAGGUGGUCAGGUCGAGUAGACCAAGGCGCUUGAGAGAACUCUGCUGAAGGAACUAGGCAAAAUGGUACCGUAACUUCGGGAGAAGGUACGCUGUUGUUGGUGAUGGAACUCGCUUCCUGAGCUGACGACAGCCGCAGAAACCAGGCCGCUGCAACUGUUUAUUAAA